rnacentral:sRNA from 1 species
CUUCAACAGCCCCAAUGCAAAGGUAAAUUUGCUGUUUAAGUCAAUUUUGUUCUUUCAAUAUUGAACUUGAGAUUUCCGUAUUAUUAACGCUAUUGCAGCUGAAUUUUUAUGUGUUAAAUACCUCCAUGUUUCAUUAAUUGCUAUAGCUGGGUAGCAGAGCAUGGAUUUAAAUUGAGGUUUUCAGUUGCGGCCAUUGCGCUACUAGCAGCUUUUUGCCUUCUGUAAUCUGAACAAAAUAGCAUUUUCCUAAACUACUUUUCUUUCCCCUACCCUUCCUGUUCCAUAAUAUCUAUUAUUUUCUUUGUUUUGGUUGUAUGCCCAUUUUAUCUCGUGUUAAAGAAACUUAAAUUGUUGAUAUUGGCAGGCAAUGUUGUUCAUCAACUUCACUGCUGAAAGUGCUGAAUCUUUCAAAUCAAAAUACCACACACCACAACCAUGGGACCACCGAGAAGAUCCUUUGCCCCAACUUCUCGAACACGAUGAACACCCUUCAAAAGAAGCCAUUCGUAUCCCAAAUUAGCAAUUUCUCUAAAACUCCUGAAACCCUAACUUCUGAUUUCCUAACCUCACUAAUAUUACCAAAUUUACCCUCUCUCUGCCACGUAUCACCCUCUCUCUGUCACGUAUUACCCACACAAAGCCACAUAAUGAUAUUCAGUCCACCCUGUCAGCUGCUCCGUUAAAAACUUCACGCCGUUUGCAAAAAGGACUUGAUUGCACACUUUUUACAAAAGAUGGGAUCACAUUGAACUUCGAAAAAAAGGUGGGACCACAUUGAACAUUGGCCCCCUUUCUAGGGACCAAAAGAGUUAACAGGAGCACGCGAGAAUUGAUGGGAAGAAAAAACAGAGAAGGAGAAAAAAAUGGAAACAGCUGGCUGGCCGAGACAAACGUAAUGUCCCCACUUUCUGACCAAACUAACAUUUAGUUGCUGACGUGCUUCUUCCCCACCGCUCGCCUUCCUCUUACAUUGUAUGUAUCUCUACACUGUCAUCUUCUUUUCACUCCCCUUUUCUCUUCCUCAGUCAAACACGUUACUUAUA